UACGGAGGGUGCAAGCGUUAUCCGGAUUUACUGGGUUUAAAGGGUGCGUAGGCGGACGAUUAAGUCGAUGGUUAAAGGCCAGAGCUCAACUCUGGAAAUGCCGUCGAUACUGGUUGUCUUGAGUUCUGUAGAGGUAACUGGAAUUAAUAGUGUAGCGGUGAAAUGCAUAGAUACUAUUAAGAACACCGAUAGCGAAGGCAGGUUACUGGGCAGAAACUGACGCUGAGGCACGAAAGCAUGGGUAUCGAACAGG
rnacentral:rRNA from 1 species